AAGAUUUUAUGAUACGAAUGCCGCCCGCUUGCAUUCCCAGUUCCCAAUCCUUGACGGACUUCCCACUUCAGAUGUCUCUCCGCUCCUCCAAUCAAACGAUCCUCCUUUCCCUUCCUCUGCUCCCCUAACCUCACAAGCGAAGCCUCUCUCGAGCUCUCUUUCAUACUAUUGCGGACCAUCGCCGCUGCCGGCGAGCAGUGGAAAGUGUGACCGCCUCUAACCUCCGUUUUAUAUAUCUCGUCUAAUUUUGCCAUUCCGAUGUCUCCAGGACCUCCCGAUUUAUUAUGGUUUCUACACUUUGUCGUCUCCACUCAAAUCUAGGGUUUGUAUACUGUGUCUCUCUCACUCUGGCAUCUCCUCUCCUUCUCGCUGUCGAUUCUCUCUUCAACUGAAUCAUCUUCCUCUCCGCUCCUCUUCUCCUCUUACCUCAGAAGACGGCAAUACUUUCUAUUAUGGAGAACUUAAGUCUCCUUCGAACACUCUUUACAUACUUCAGCGGACAUCGCCGCUGCUGCUGAGUAAUCGAAAGUGUUUCCGCCUCCUCUAACUUCUGUUUCAGAAAUCUCGAUUCGGAUGUAUCCCGGAACCGCCAAUUGCACUCUCGAGCCAGAGCCUUGCAGAACGGACCUAUUACCGGCUUUCACCGCUUGAAGACUCCCAAGGGCUUCGUUCCGUACACGAAGACAUUGAAAGGUCGGUUCUGUUUUGGAUUCUGCGUAAUUUUGUGAGCAUAUCCAUCCUGAUAGGUUGACAUUCUUCUGGCGGAAAAGUGGUGCAAGAAUGCAAGAUAGUGAUUUUCUUUCUAACAAAGCAUACAUUUUUGCUCAUUCUCUGCACAUCGACUUUGAAAAUAGUAAAGUUAAUCUUUGCACUGGUAUCUCUCUUAUUAAUUCUGACUUUGUUUGGCCUUUUGAUGAUAGCACCAUUGCCAUCUUUCAGAAAUAAGCAUCCUUUUUUUUUACGUUUUGUGCUGUAAGAGAAACUUUGAUCAAGUACGUCAGUUUAAUUUGGCCGUAUUUUUUCUGCACAGGGAGUUAAUAUAUAAUCCCGUUAAUGCUAAUUUAGUUAUUAUAUCUAACACACCUAAUCAAUAUACGCUGUUCCAUUUGUAAGUAGCUUAUAUUUUGAUGUAUAUAAAUUAUGCGUUGGAAUUUGGUCAGCUUUGUAAGUAGCUUUUCUAUAUAUUUUGUUCUUCAAUAUCUCACAUGUAAAAGUGAGGUUCA